GCCCAAUCCUCAGGGCUUCUGAAUCAGCAGGCAGGAAUGGGGUGGGCCAACCACGUGGCCCAAGAACUGUCUGGCUAACAGUUUCCCAGCCUCCUGAGAAGCAAGGCCCAGAGGAACAAACACUGUGCGUGGGAAACCAGAGAGGGGCUCUGGAGGAGGGGACGGAAGAGGCCAGAGACAGGGUGGCUUUUCUGAAGAAUGGAAGGAGAUGAUCCAGAUGUGAGAAUCAGCACCUGCACGUGAUGAUUGCUUCUUACUCUGGCCAGAAAGGACAUGUGGGUUACAAGGCUGGACUAGACCCUGUUAACACAGCUGUCUCCAACACCAAGUUCCUAAGGUACUAGUAAAAGGAGAAAGGAAUUGAGGACUUUUGACCACACAACGUGUAAGAAAGAAAGUGUUACAGCGUUUGUGUUUUCCCGACUGGCUUUCGGGACCAUGGUCCCUUUUAGAGCGACACUACUGUCUUGCCCUGUGACAUCCUCCCAAAGAGCCUGAAUCACUGCAUGCACCAUAAUGAUGGUGGAUUAGGUGACUGAACGAAAGCUGUGAGGUAAUUAAAACAGGUGGAGAAAUAGUAAUAACAACAGCCCUCACAGUCAUCAGUGGCUACCUAUAAGAAUUCCCUAGCAUCUUCUAUCCAUUACAUUAUUUAAUCCUCUCUGCAAAACUCCACAUAUGGCAUCAUCUUAUUACAUAGGGAAAGCUUAGAUUAUUUGAUUAUCUUUGUUCUUGCAUCCUUUUUUUUUGUUGUUGUUCUUGCAUCCUAACAAGGCAACUUAGGUUGUAUCUAUACGAUGCCCAAUAGCUAGUUAAAUCAAAGCAAUUUUGGAAUCAUAUAUGCAAAGUUGUUUGUAGAACUAGUUUUUAUUUGUGUUAGAAUGUCUUUGCGUAAAUAAUCCAGUGAUUAUUUUUCAUUAUCAUUAUUUACAAAUUAUCAUCUUCCUAUCUCAGCACAAAUUAGAGGCUUUACUACAAGGCUUGUGGAGGAAGUACCCUACCAGCUAAUUCAACGCAAUACAUAAUAUUUAGUCCAUUAAACUACAGGCAUGAUCAGUGUCCCAUAAAAGCAACUAAAGAAGAGGAGUUUGUGGCUAGUUAUAUGUAAAAAUCAAUGUGUACGUUCCAAUGAGUUGUAUAAAAACAGUAAUAGUGUGGCCAUUUGUUCCCCCACACAGUGUAACACAGACAGAUCU
ensembl:lncRNA